GAUCCUGGCUCAGAGCGAACGCUGGCGGCAGGCUUAACACAUGCAAGUCGAGCGGGCGUAGCAAUACGUCAGCGGCAGACGGGUGAGUAACGCGUGGGAACGUACCUUUUGGUUCGGAACAACUGAGGGAAACUUCAGCUAAUACCGGAUAAGCCCUUACGGGGAAAGAUUUAUCGCCGAAAGAUCGGCCCGCGUCUGAUUAGCUAGUUGGUGAGGUAAACGGCUCACCAAGGCGACGAUCAGUAGCUGGU
rnacentral:rRNA from 1 species